ACAGCGGAGAGUUUGAUCCUGGCUCAGGAUGAACGCUAGCGGCAGGCUUAACACAUGCAAGUCGAGCGGC
rnacentral:rRNA from 1 species